UAGAUGCGAGAGUAGAGCAUAUCAAUAAGCGGAGGAAAAGAAACUAACAAGGAUUCCCUUAGUAACGGCGAGUGAAGCGGGAAGAGCUCAAAUUUGAAAUCUUCAAGGUUCUACCUUGACGAAUUGUAGUUUAUAGAAGUGUUUUCUGUUAGUGGAGUGGCAAAAGUUCUUUGGAAUAGGACAUCAUAGAGGGUGAGAAUCCCGUAUUUGGUCAUUCCUCCUAGCGUUGUGAUACACUUCAACGAGUCGGAUUGUUUGGGAAUGCAGUCCAAAAUGGGUGGUAAAUUUCAUCUAAAGCUAAAUAUUGGCGAGAGACCGAUAGCGAACAAGUACCGUGAGGGAAAGAUGAAAAGAACUUUGAAAAGAGAGUUAAACAGUACGUGAAAUUGUCAAAAGGGAAGCGUUUGACACCAGUGUUGUUUUUCCGAAAAUCAAUUACGAAUGUUUUAUUUUUGAGGAGUUAUGACUUCAUCGGCUUGCUCCUUUCUUUAUGAAACUUUCUUAAUGCACUUUCGGUUAACAAGUCAACAUCAAUUUCUUUUGUUGUAAAAGGGUAUGAGGAAGGUGGCUUUCUUUUCGGAGAAAGUGUUUAUAGCCUUGUGCCUCUGCAAUCGGAGAGAUUGAGGUCUGCAGCGUAGAUCCUUCGGGGUUAGAUACAUUUGUGCUAAGUUAUAGCUUUUCAUAGACAACUUGUUGGCUAUGUUUAGUCUUGUAGCUUACUCGCUUAUGCUAUUUUACCUACGCUUAGGAUGUUGACGAGACUGUCGAUCUC
rnacentral:rRNA from 1 species